AUUGAACGCUGGCGGCAUGCCUUACACAUGCAAGUCGAACGGCAGCAUGGAGAGCUUGCUCUCUGAUGGCGAGUGGCGAACGGGUGAGUAAAGCAUCGGAACGUACCGUGUAGUGGGGGAUAACGUAGCGAAAGUUACGCUAAUACCGCAUACGCACUGAGGUGGAAAGCAGGGGAUCGUAAGACCUUGCGCUAUACGAGCGGCCGAUGUCAGAUUAGCUAGUUGGUAGGGUAAAGGCCUACCAAGGCGACGAUCUGUAGCGGGUCUGAGAGGAUGAUCCGCCACACUGGGACUGAGACACGGCCCAGACUCCUACGGGAGGCAGCAGUGGGGAAUUUUGGACAAUGGGGGCAACCCUGAUCCAGCCAUGCCGCGUGAGUGAAGAAGGCCUUCGGGUUGUAAAGCUCUUUCGGCCGGGAAGAAAUCGCACAGGCUAAUACCCUGUGUGGAUGACGGUACCGGCAUAAGAAGCACCGGCUAACUACGUGCCAGCCGCCGCCGUAA
rnacentral:rRNA from 1 species